rnacentral:rRNA from 1 species
GACGAACGCUGGCGGCGUGCUUAACACAUGCAAGUCGAACGGAAAGGCCCUGCUUGCAGGGUACUCGAGUGGCGAACGGGUGAGUAACACGUGGGUGAUCUGCCCUGCACUUCGGGAUAAGCUUGGGAAACUGGGUCUAAUACCGGAUAGGACCGCACUUUAGUGUGUGUGGUGGAAAGUUUUUUCGGUGUAGGAUGAGCUCGCGGCCUAUCAGCUUGUUGGUGGGGUAAUGGCCUACCAAGGCGGCGACGGGUAGCCGGCCUGAGAGGGUGUACGGCCACAUUGGGACUGAGAUACGGCCCAGACUCCGACGGGAGGCAGCAGUGGGGAAUAUUGCACAAUGGGCGCAAGCCUGAUGCAGCGACGCCGCGUGGGGGAUGAAGGCCUUCGGGUUGUAAACUCAUUUCGCUAGGGACGAAGCUUUUUGUGACGGUACCUAGAGAAGAAGCACCGGCUAACUACGUG